GUGCACCAGUCGAGAAAACUCCGCAAUGCUCGAAAGAGUGACGGGGGGAUUCCAAGUGCCUACGCUUAGCGUAGGCUGUUCAGAUGCCUAAAAAGCAUCUGGAGUAAGGGCUGGGUAAGACGGGUGCCAUCUGCAGUGGUAAUGAAAACUUGCUACUGCAAGGCAUAAGCCGCCGCGGUAAUACCCGCAGCCCGAGUGGUAGUCGCUUUUAUUGGGCCUAAAGCGUCCGUAGCCGGUCUGGUAAAUGCCUGGGGUAAAUCGUGGGGCCUAACCUCACGAACUCCGGGUAGACUGCCAGACUUGGGACCGGUUUGAGGGAGAGGGUACUCCAGGGGUAGGGGUGAAAUCCUGUAAUCCUUGGAGGACCACCGGUGGCGAAAGCGCUCUCCUAGGACGGGUCCAGGUGAGGGGACGAAAGCCAGGGGAGCAAACCGGGAUUAGAUACCCCGGUAGU
rnacentral:rRNA from 1 species